rnacentral:rRNA from 1 species
GACGAACGCUGGCGGCGUGCUUAACACAUGCAAGUCGAACGGAAAGGCCCUGAUUUUGUGGGGUGAUCGAGUGGCGAACGGGUGAGUAACACGUGAGUAACCUGACCUUGACUUUGGGAUAACUUCAGGAAACUGGGGCUAAUACCGGAUAGGAGCUCCUGCUGCAUGGUGGGGGUUGGAAAGUUUCGGCGGUGGGGGAUGGACUCGCGGCUUAUCAGCUUGUUGGUGGGGUAGUGGCUUACCAAGGAUUUGACGGGUAGCGGGCCUGAGAGGGUGACCGGCCACAUUGGGACUGAGAUGCGGCCCAGACUCCUACGGGAGGCAGCAGGGGGGAAUAGUGCACAAUGGGCGGAAGCCUGGUGCAGCAAGGCCGCGUGCGGGAUGACGGCCUUCGGGUUGUAAACCGCUUUCGCCUGUGACGAAGCGUGAGUGACGGUAAUGGGUAGAGAAGCACCGGCUAACUACGGG